AUUGAACGCUGGCGGCAUGCUUUACACAUGCAAGUCGAACGGCAGCGCGGGGCCACCUGGCGGCGAGUGGCGUACGGGUGAGUAAUAUAUCGGAACGUACCCAGAAGUGGGGGGUAACGUAUCGAAAGUUACGCUAAUACCUCAUACGAUCUACGUAUGAACGUAUGGGACCGCAAGCCCUUAUGCUUUUGGAUCGGCCGAUAUCUGAUUAGCUAGUUGGUGAGGUAAAGGCUCACCAAGGCGACGAUCAGUAGCUGGUCUGAGAGGACGACCAGCCACACGGGAACUGAGAAUCGGUACAGACUCCUACGGGAGGCAGCAGUGGGGAAUCUUGGACGAUGGGGGAAAGGCUGAUCCAGCAAUGCCGCGUGAGUGAAGAAGGACUUCGGGUUGUAAAGCUCUUUUGUCAGGGAAGAAACGGUGGAGGCUAAUAUCCGAUGAUAAUGACGGUACCUGAAGAAUAAGCACCGGCUAACUACGUG
rnacentral:rRNA from 1 species